CACCAAGGACCGCCAAACGACUGGACAGCAUCACUGAAAACACUAAUUCUCUGUGAAAUUUCACAGCCAUCGGAGCAGAGGCAUACCUAAUGUUAAAGUGAUACCACUGCACCUUCAAGGCCAAAUGAAGUCAUGUGCUGAAAAGCGUGCUGGGUGAACUGAAACCUCCUCCCACACUGGCGGCGGAGCCAAGAGGACUUGGGCCUCUGCUUUCAGCCCAACACGCUCCCCUCCCCAGGAUGUGUCUCCCGGGUCCCAGCGUCAUAUACUCCAUCAGACCCGAUUGCAACAGUCAGUUAGCAGUCAAUGUAGCGGGAGAUGGGCCACAAGGGGAUUUCUAUACGUUUAAUUAUGAAAAAUGA
rnacentral:lncRNA from 1 species